rnacentral:rRNA from 1 species
CGUAUGCAACCUACCUUUAACUGAGGGAUAGCCCAUAGAAAUGUGGAUUAAUACCUCAUAGUUUUGAUUGGCCGCAUGGCACAGAUCAAAUAAAGCUCCGGCGGUUAAAGAUGGGCAUGCGUGACAUUAGCUAGUUGGUAAGGUAACGGCUUACCAAGGCUACGAUGUCUAGGGGUUCUGAGAGGAUGAUCCCCCACACUGGUACUGAGACACGGACCAG